CGGAGGGUCCGAGCGUUAAUCGGAAUUACUGGGCGUAAAGCGCACGCAGGCGGUUUGUUAAGCUAGAUGUGAAAGCCCCGGGCUCAACCUGGGAAUUGCAUUUAGAACUGGCAGGCUAGAGUCUUGGAGAGGGGAGUGGAAUUCCAGGUGUAGCGGUGAAAUGCGUAGAUAUCUGGAGGAACAUCAGUGGCGAAGGCGACUCCCUGGCCAAAGACUGACGCUCAUGUGCGAAAGUGUGGGUAGCGAACAGGAUU
rnacentral:rRNA from 1 species